rnacentral:lncRNA from 1 species
CGCAAAAUAAUGCUAAAUUAAAAUAUAAAUAAAGCUAAGAAAAUUUUUUUUUAGUGAAAUACAAUAACAGGACAAAACCCGAGUAAUAAAUAUAACUAGUGUGACUCAAACCCAGACCACAGUUGGGACGAUAAACACCCUAACCAGGCAUUACAUGGGGUUCAAAGCCGAGAAAUUCUUCCUAAUUUUAUUUUAAAAAACCAAUAUAUAGUGGCUUGAGACACAUUUAUUCAUGUGAAUUGAAGCAAGGACAUUAUUUAAUUACAAUUACUCUCUGUAAUUUACUCCAAUCUACAAUCUUAUACUACCUUCAUCUUCUUCUCCUAAUAAUUCAGGUUGCUAUUCCAACAGCCUUUGUAAACUUACUCCAAGGGUCGACAUGUUCAUUCUCGUUUCCAUCCGCAGAACAAACGAGACAUGAUCAAAUGCCUUACCCAUGUCGGGUUUAUUUUUAUCUUGCCUGUUUUUCAGUAGUGAUGUUGCAGCAUGCAAAUUCCGGCAUUAACUUCGCGUUCCUUCAAGUUGAGGAUGGACAACUGAGAUGCUUCCAUGAGAGUUUUGAGUUACUCAAAUUCAUAUCGGAGAUUUCCUUCUCCUUCCAUGAUUCUAAGGAACACAACAUUAUGAUUACAAGUUUUAAAACUGCAAUGCAAAAAGGAAAAGUACUAAUACCAAAAUCAAAACAAAAGCAAACUUAUAUAACCCGAAUUUUGGUAACUUUGAGAAAUAAAACUGACUGAAUACCGUAUCUAGCUAUACUGUAAGUUCAAUUAAUUAAGAAAAUUUCAUUGAAUAUUAACCAUGUCGAUCAAAAGCAUGUCCACAACGUGGAAACAUUAAAGAAGAUCAAAUUCUCGAGGUGAGUAAUUUACCUGAGGAAUGCCUGUUACUCAGAGCAUAAAAAAUGAGAGGAGGCGGCGAAUACGAAUAUAAAACUAAACAAGAACAGAAGCAAAUGUAAGUUUACAAACUUACACCAUCAUGUAGUUUCCACUAUUUCUCCAAGGUCUUAUGCAAACAUAGUAGCCUCCGAAUCAUAACAUGGAAUUUUCAUUUUCAGCUUUACCCCUUUGAAUGUGUCAGAAUACAAAUAAGUAUGAUUGGCCAGAAGGGGAAGAUGAAAGUAAUGAACACCUACCACAUUUAUGCAUAGAAAGACCUAAAAUGACGAUAAAGUUUUCGUAGAAGAAUUGGGAUUCACCUAGAAUUUCUCAAGUUAAUAGACUAUCAAUUUCUACUGUAUAUCCCUAUUCUUAACCCUUCUUCAAACAUAAAAGACCUCAAAUCCCACUUUUUACUUUUAGUCUUAAAUCAACUCAAGCUAUGCAAGAUUAGAAUAUAAUCAACUGACUACGAGAUUGUCUUAAUCACUAUCCGUAUUACCCAUUCUUUUAUGAUUUUAAAUCUAGUGUGCAAGAGACUGAAAAACAAUAAUCACUAAUCAAAUGUAGGAAUUAUUGACUAAAAUGCAAAGGAUUCACUCCAUGCACUAAAAUAUGGUUUUCAAAAGCUUAGACAGAAACAUAAAUGCAGCCACAAGAAAUAUCAUUUCGCCAUCAACUAAGAGCAAAAGUUACCAACUAUAGUGAGGGAUUCUAUCAUUGGUAGUUUUACUCUUAAGGGAACUUUUCCGAAUCCCUCUCUAGCUUUCACAACUUAAAAUUUUCCAAGUCCGAGGUAGGAGACAGGAAAUGUAUAAAAUUAAAAAUAAGAUGUAUUUCAUCUCAUUCUAGCCUUCUCACAUAUUGAAACUAAGAUACACUAGCAAAUUUCAAUCAUAUUUGAUUAUAAAAUAUAUAAUAUCUCACCCUUUUACAAGACAAAUUUUCAAUUUCUUGAAUACAUAACCUACUCUCCCUAAAUUUAAAAGUUGAAUCAUUAAGAUAUUCAUGAAUAUUUAAAUGAAAACUUCAAGAUCUGCCCCAAUAUAAAGGGGCAUAUACUCAUUAGUAUAUAUGCAUAUAACCAUAUAUCUAUACAAAUAGGUCAAGUUCAAGACAAAGUCACAUAGCAUGGUCAUCAAUAUCAAUGUGUUCGUGUUCGCUUGUUUCAAAAUCAUGAUAUUAUAUGCUAUAUAAAAUGUUGCAAACAAAGUAUAUGCCGUCAUUCAAACUCAAGGAUAUCAUAUACCAUACGUAAUUCAGGGAUGUGACCUUAACCGUUAUGGGUUGCUAACCAUUUACGCACUAAUUGCUGUGGAUCUUAGUGACUGAAAAAAGUUGAAACCAGCAUAGGGAAAUUACUUCUUUCCCUACAUUUAAGACUAAUCUCUAAACUAAUAUCACAUAAAAUUUGAAAGAAGAAACAAGCUUGAAGGAAAUUGAAAAUGGUUACCUAGAUGACAUAACCAGUUUAAUGGCAAACAAGGUGCAGUAUGCAAAAAAUUGCACUUACCACAAAUUUAAGAGACUAAUAUUAUACCAGAUACCAUAAAGAAGAUCUUCCAGGAAAAAAGCAAACAAUGUAUAAAAAUCGAACAUAAUCCGCUGAGUGAAUCUAUAUACUAACCUGCAUUUGGAAAUUUCCUGCUGCCAUACAUAUAGUCAAUGAUGGAAAAGAAAAAAGUGCAGAUUUAUACAGAAAAAUAAGAAAAACGGUGACAUUCCUUUAGCUAAAACAUCAGCAGAUCCAAACCCUUGACAAUCCCAAAUAUAGUUAGAAAGAUUCAGCUGAGAAACUAUCAUAUUUUACUCUAAGCAAACAAGACAAGCAGAAAGAAAACAAGCAAAAAAAAAAAACCCAAAAAAUCAGAGCCAGAUUUAC